rnacentral:rRNA from 1 species
UACGUAGGCAGCAAGCGUUGUUCGGAGUUACUGGGCGUAAAGGGUGUGUAGGCGGUUAUUUAAGUUUGGUGUGAAAUCUCCCGGCUCAACCGGGAGGGUGCGCCGAAUACUGAAUGACUUGGAGUGCGGGAGAGGAAAGUGGAAUUCCUGGUGUAGCGGUGAAAUGCGUAGAUAUCAGGAGGAACACCGGUGGUGUAGACGGCUUUCUGGACCGGAACUGACGCUGAGACACGAAAGCGUGGGGAGCGAACAGG